UGGGGAAUCUUGCGCAAUGGGCGAAAGCCUGACGCAGCGACGCCGCGUGAGUGAUGAAGGCCUUCGGGUUGUAAAGCUCUGUGGGGAGAGACGAAUAAGUGCAAGCUAAUACCUUGCAUGAUGACGGUAUCUCCUUAGCAAGCACCGGCUAACUCUGUGCCAGCAGCCGCGGUAAGACAGAGGGUGCAAACGUUGUUCGGAAUUACUGGGCGUAAAGCGAGUGUAGGCGGUCUGAAAAGUCGGGUGUGAAAGCCCUGGGCUCAACCCAGGAAGUGCACUCGAAACUGCCAGGCUAGAGUAUCGGAGAGGUUGGUGGAAUUCUCGGUGUAGAGGUGAAAUUCGUAGAUAUCGAGAGGAACACCGGUGGCGAAGGCGGCCAACUGGACGAAUACUGACGCUGAGACUCGAAAGCGUGGGGAGCAAACAGG
rnacentral:rRNA from 1 species